UACGGAGGGGGCUAGCGUUGUUCGGAAUUACUGGGCGUAAAGCGCGCGUAGGCGGCUUUGCAAGUGACGGGUGAAAUCCCUCGGCUUAACCGAGGAACUGCCUGUCAAACUGCAUGGCUUGAGACCGGGAGAGGUGAGUGGAAUUCCCAGUGUAGCGGUGAAAUGCGUAGAUAUUGGGAGGAACACCAGUGGCGAAGGCGGCUCACUGGACCGGUACUGACGCUGAUGCGCGAAAGCGUGGGGAGCAAACAGG
rnacentral:rRNA from 1 species